GUGUUCGUAGAAAGGAAAGAUAGUUGGCAUCUCCCUUUGACACUAACAGGGACAGGAGCAGUCUUCGGACUUACCUAUUAUCACACACCCGUUAAGGUUAUCCACUUUGGUGGAUCUCUAACCCAAUUUUUU